rfam:Felis catus isolate Cinnamon breed Abyssinian chromosome A2, whole genome shotgun sequence.
GCCUGGGUGGCUCAGUCGGUUGAGCGCCUGACUUCAGCUCAGGUCAUGAUCUCACGGUUCGUGGGUUCGAGCCCCGAAUCGGGCU